UGCAAGUCGAGCGGGGAGAGGUAGCUUGCUACCUAACCUAGCGGCGGACGGGUGAGUAAUGCUUAGGAAUCUGCCUAUUAGUGGGGGACAACAUUCCGAAAGGAAUGCUAAUACCGCAUACGCCCUACGGGGGAAAGCAGGGGAUCUUCGGACCUUGCGCUAAUAGAUGAGCCUAAGUCAGAUUAGCUAGUUGGUGGGGUAAAGGCCUACCAAGGCGACGAUCUGUAGCGGGUCUGAGAGGAUGAUCCGCCACACUGGGACUGAGACACGGCCCAGACUCCUACGGGAGGCAGCAGUGGGGAAUAUUGGACAAUGGGCGAAAGCCUGAUCCAGCCAUGCCGCGUGUGUGAAGAAGGCCUUUUGGUUGUAAAGCACUUUAAGCGAGGAGGAGGCUACUUGGAUUAAUACUCUAGGAUAGUGGACGUUACUCGCAGAAUAAGCACCGGCUAACUCUGUGCCAGCAGCCGCGGUAAUACAGAGGGUGCGAGCGUUAAUCGGAUUUACUGGGCGUAAAGCGUGCGUAGGCGGCUUUUUAAGUCGGAUGUGAAAUCCCUGAGCUUAACUUAGGAAUUGCAUUCGAUACUGGGAAGCUAGAGUAUGGGAGAGGAUGGUAGAAUUCCAGGUGUAGCGGUGAAAUGCGUAGAGAUCUGGAGGAAUACCGAUGGCGAAGGCAGCCAUCUGGCCUAAUACUGACGCUGAGGUACGAAAGCAUGGGGAGCAAACAGGAUUAGAUACCCUGGUAGUCCAUGCCGUAAACGAUGUCUACUAGCCGUUGGGGCCUUUGAGGCUUUAGUGGCGCA
rnacentral:rRNA from 1 species